CCAGCACAUCAGAGCAGGUUCCCUGCAUGUCUGUAGGAGCCUUCAGAUAUCUUCUGUCAACAUCAAUUGCCUUGACAGUAGCUACCAUGCUUGGAGAUGUAAUAUCAGAACAAAGCUAAAAACAAGAAUGUCUGAAAUAUCAAGAAUAAUGACCUACAAAGUCUCUUCUGGCCCCAGCUUCCACUGAAAAAUAAUUGGAUGAAUUGGCUGAAUUGGUUCUCAACAGGUCUCUCUGAGAAGAGAACCAGGAGAUAAGACCUGCUUAUAACAGGGGCUCUGCAACCUGGAAGUCCUAUCUUCCCCAGAACACCAG